rnacentral:rRNA from 1 species
UCGGUUAAAUCUAUGCGCUUAACGUAUAGGCCGCCGAAAAUACUGUGCAGCUAGGGAGUGGGAGAGGUACACGGUACUCGAUAGGAAGGGGUAAAAUCCUUUGAUCUAUUGAUGACCACCUGUGGCGAAGGCGGUGUACCAGAACACGUUCGACGGUGAGGGAUGAAAGCUGGGGGAGCAAACCGGAUUAGAUACCCGGGUAGUCCCAGCUGUAAACGAUGCGGACUCGGUGGUGCAUUGGCUUGUGGCCAAUGCAGUGCCGCAGGGAAGCCGUUAAGUCUGCCGCCUGGGAAGUACGUACGCAAGUAUGAGAACNUUUAAAGGGGAAUUUUGGCGGGGGAGCACCACAAGGGGUGAAGCCUGCGGUUCAAUUGGAGUCAACGCCAGAAAUCUUACCUGGGGAGACAGCAGAAUGAAGGUCAAGCUGAAGACUUUACCAGACACGCUGAGAGGUGGUGCAUGGCCGUCGCCAGCUCGUGCCGUNNNNNNNNNNNNNNNNNNNNNNNACGAGCGAGAACCCUGGCGUCUAGUUGCUACCAUUACUCUCUGGAG